CGCACUAGUCACUUUGUCUUUAUGGCAAAUGUGAGAUGCAGUGUAUGGAAUGUCAAAUUUCUAGUAUGAGAAAUUAACGAUUUAAGUCCUUCUUAAAUGAGGCCAUUUACCCAUAGAGGGUGCCAGGCCCGUAUAACGUUAAUGAUUACUAGAUGGCAUUUCCAAAGAGUCGUGUUGCUUGAUAGUGCAGCACUAAGUGGGUGGUAAACUCCAUCUAAAACUAAAUAUAACCAUGAGACCGAUAGUAAACAAGUACCGUGAGGGAAAGUUGAAAAGAACUCUGAAUAGAGAGUUAAAUAGUACGUGAAACUGCUUAKAGGUUAAGCCCGAUGAACCUGAAUAUCCGUUAUAGAAAAUUCAUCAUUAUGAUUUUAAUAUUAAUAAUAUUAAAAUAAUGGUGUGCAUUUUUUCUAUAAAGGACAUUGUAAUCUAUUAACAUGAAUUUAUAUAUUUAUCAUAAGAUCAUUAUGCGUAAGUUUAUUCAAAUUAUUUUGCUUGCAAGUUAAUAUAGAAUAAAUGCUUUUGAUUUGAUAAAGUGUUGAUAGAUUUAUUAUAUAUGGUGCUUAAAUAUAUUUGUAUAUUUUAUAAUAUCAUAUUAAUCAUUGAUUUUUAUGUUUAUUAUAUGCACUUAUAUGAUUAACAAUGCGAAAGAUUCAGGAUACCUUCGGGACCCGUCUUGAAACACGGACCAAGGAGUCUAACAUAUAUGCAAGUUAUUGGGAAUAAAAAACCUAAUAGCGAAAUUAACAUAACUUUUAUUAAUGGGAUUAGUUUUUAGCCUAUUUAUAAUAGUCUAUUAAUUCAAUCCCGGGGCGUUCUAUAUAGUUAUGUAUAAUAAUAUUUAUAUUAUUUAUACCUCUAACUAGAGCGUACCUUGAGCAUAUAUGCUGUGACCCGAAAGAUGGUGAACUAUACUUGAUCAGGUUGAAGUCAGGGGAAACCCUGAUGGAAGACCGAAACAGUUCUGACGUGCAAAUCGAUUGUCAGAAUUGAGUAUAGGGGCGAAAGACCAAUCGAACCAUCUAGUAGCUGGUUCCCUCCGAAGUUUCCCUCAGGAUAGCUGGUGCAUUUAAAAAUUAUGUAAAAUAAUCUUAUCUGGUAAAGCGAAUGAUUAGAGGCCUUAGGGUCGAAACGACCUUAACCUAUUCUCAAACUUUAAAUGGGUAAGAACCUCACCUUUCUUGGUAUGAAGGUUGUGGUUGUGAUAUAAUGUGCCCAGUGGGCCACUUUUGGUAAGCAGAACUGGCGCUGUGGGAUGAACCAAACGUAAUGUUACGGUGCCCAAAUUAACAACUCAUGCAGAUACCAUGAAAGGCGUUGGUUGCUAAAA
rnacentral:rRNA from 1 species